UAGCUUUUUUCACAUGACUUUUUCACAUUUACACAUUUCAUCUUCACCUUUCUAGUUCCUUCCCCACUCACCACCACUUCACCCCCAACAAACCUCCUUUUUUCGAGUAACACCAACCCAUUUCCACUACCCCUACGCUAAAAAAUUGAUACUCCUCCUGACAAAUAUUGAUUAAAGUCUGUUUGUUCUCAUUGAUUUGCCCAAUAUAUUAGGAGUUCUAACUCCAUCUAAUUUAGGAGUUCUACUGCUGCUAUCCUAUUUGAUCACAAGCAUAUUAUAAACGUACAGCACUAGAAUUCCUAUUACUAAUAUGCUUAGAAUAUUACUCUGAUUAAGAUACUCGCUAAUCUAUCGUAACACCUCCUCACUCAUUUUCUCUCUCCUCCCUGUCCAAAACCGUAAAACCUCUCUGAUAUGAUGACAAAUGACUUCAAAGUUAAAAGACAAAACGAAGCACUUUGAAAACAAAAUCAGCCUUGACAGGGUGAAUUGAAAGAGUAUUGCCAACUUUUGGGAUUAUGUUAGAGACAUGGUGAAUCGAAGUCUAUGAGGGUGAAUUGGAAGAUUAAUUUUGAUCAAGAUUUUGCAUGCAACUCGUUCUUCUUCUCUAAAGAGACGUUAGUAACAGAAGCCAAAAAGCAGCGGAUUCCAUCCAAACGCAGGGACUAAAUUGCUCCUUUUGAAACUUGAGGGACUAAACUGCUCCUUUUGACAAAGUUUAGGGACUUCCAGACUUGUUUACUCGUAGUUUUCGCUUUGAUUCGCGGCGCCGGAAGACGCAGACGCAGAAGCGUUCCCGCGAAUUUGUUGAUGUCGUCCUCGGUCCUCGCAUCCUAUUCCACAUUUGAAACCUACCGGUAUCCGAGAAAGUCUUAAUCUAUACUAGGUAUACCAUUGAAAUGGUAUAAUAAUAUUCUGUAAUUUUAUUUAGUAUCAAACCACAUAGUUUGGUAUAAGAAAAGUAGUUAUAUUUUCUCAUGUGAUACCAAACAACAUAGUUUGGUAACGUGAUUUUAUUUUUAUUUGGUUCCAAACAACAUAGUUUGGUACUUACAAAUCAAAAAUAAAUGUUAUUUUUCAGACUCAAUUUAUUACUUGAACUUACCAUUU